rfam:Citrus clementina cultivar Clemenules unplaced genomic scaffold scaffold_9, whole genome shotgun sequence.
AGAUCAUGAUGUGGGCAUUUUUUGGUAGUCUUUAUAUCCCUCCCAUGCUUCAUAUAAUGACUCCAUCUUAAAUUGAGCAAAAAUUAUGAUAUCAUUCUUUAACUC